UACGGAGGGGGCUAGCGUUGUCCGGAAUUACUGGGCGUAAAGCGCGCGUAGGCGGUCUACCAAGUCGGGGGUGAAAGCCCAGGGCUCAACCCUGGAAUUGCCUCCGAGACUGAUGGACUCGAGUGCGGGAGAGGAGAGCGGAAUUCCGAGUGUAGAGGUGAAAUUCGUAGAUAUUCGGAAGAACACCAGUGGCGAAGGCGGCUUACUGGACACACAUUGACGCUGAGGUGCGAAAGCGUGGGGAGCAAACAGG
rnacentral:rRNA from 1 species